rnacentral:lncRNA from 1 species
UGUUAUUUACUCAUUUACUUCAUAAAAAGACAUUUGUCACUACGGUAAUAGAGAAUGCAAAAGAGUUCUAGUACAUACCUAUUACUUAUCAGUAUUGGUGGACUCCACUUCUAUUAGAGAAAUAGUACAUAAUGCGGUAUAUAAAUGUGGUUAGUUUAGCAUUACCCUAAUGAAAAUAUCAAAUCAAUAUAAUACUAUAGCUGCC